rnacentral:rRNA from 1 species
UACGGAGGGUGCAAGCGUUAUCCGGAUUCACUGGGUUUAAAGGGUGCGUAGGCGGACAGGUAAGUCAGUGGUGAAAUCUCGGGGCUUAACUCCGAAACUGCAUUCGAUACUGCCGUGCUUGAGGACUGGAGAGGAGACUGGAAUUUACGGUGUAGCGGUGAAAUGCGUAGAUAUCGUAAGGAAGACCAGUGGCGAAGGCGGGUCUCUGGACAGUUCCUGACGCUGAGGCACGAAGGUCAGGGGAGCAAACGGG